AUGCUCACUUCAGUAGCACAUAUACUAAAAUUGAAACAAUACAGAGAUUACAUGGUACCUGUGCAAGGAUGACACAAAUUCAUGAAGCAGUCCAUAUAAAACUUUU
ensembl:snRNA U6 U6 spliceosomal RNA